rnacentral:rRNA from 1 species
AGCAGCCGCGGUAAUUCCAGCUCCAAUAGCGUAUAUUAAAGUUGUUGCAGUUAAAAAGCUCGUAGUUGAAUUUCGAGAUCAGUACGCUGGUCGUGCCUUCGGUAUGCACUGGUGUCACUGGUUUCUCCCUUCUGAAGAACCGUCAUGCCAUUCAGUUGGUGUGGCGGGGAAUCAGGACUGUUACUUUGAAAAAAUUGAGUGUUUAAAGCAGGCUCGCGCUUGAAUACAUUAGCAUGGAAUAAUGAAAUAGGACGUUUGACCCUAUUUUGUUGGUUUCUAGGAUCGACGUAAUGAUUAAUAGGGAUAGUUGGGGGCAUUAGUAUUCAAUUGUCAGAGGUGAAAUUCUUGGAUUUAUUGAAGACUAACUACUGCGAAAGCAUUUGCCAAGGAUGUUUUCAUUAAUCAAGAACGAAAGUUAGGGGAUCGAAGACGAUCAGAUACCGUCGUAGU